CAAUAGCGUAUAUUAAAGUUGUUGCAGUUAGAACGCUCGUAGUCGGAUUUCGGGGCGGGGCGACCGGUCUGCCGAUGGGUAUGCACUGGUCGGCGCGUCCUUCCUUCCGGAGACCGUUCCUACUCUUAACUGAGCGGGGGCGGGAGACGGAUCGUUUACUUUGAAAAAAUCAGAGUGUUUCAAGCAGGCAGCUCGCUCUUGCAUGGAUUAGCAUGGGAUAAUGAAAUAGGACUUUGGUGCUAUUUUGUUGGUUUCGAACACCGAAGUAAUGAUUAAAAGGGACAGUCAGGGGCACUCGUAUUCCGUCGAGAGAGGUGAAAUUCUCAGACCAGCGGAAGACGAACCACUGCGAAAGCAUUUGCCAGGGAUGUUUUCACUGA
rnacentral:rRNA from 1 species